CGAGGGGCAGAGCAGGCUGCCUUUUGUCCAUUGGCGGAGGCUCCCCGGACUGCCACUCCAGCGCCGGCCUUGUCAGUCAAAGCCACGCGGGUGCCCAGCGCUGACAAACGCUGCCGCUUCUCAGCCUCCCGCUUGCAAAUACUGCUUGGAAUGGCUGCUUAAUUAGCUUUGAAUGGCUUUUCCUUCCAGCUCAAACAAUCUGUCACUACCAUGCGGGGAAAAGGAGCCAUGCAUAAAAAACUCCAGUCCUGUUGAGAUGCGGUAAAGUGACCAAGAAUGUCCGUUGCUAAUUGAUACUUAGCACACCGGUGCCAUACUGAAAUAGCAGAUUUUUGAUUGUAGGUUAUUAAAAUUUACCUGGUUCAAAAAAAGCCAUUGGAGAGGGAAGGAAGUGUUCUGGAUCACAUGGAUUUAAAAGUCUAUUUAAAUGGAUGCUUUCACAUCCUCAUUAUACAUCGGGCUUUCCCCCUACCUUUUUCCCGGGUCUGGGGAUAUCUUGUCAGUACAUGACUCACUUCAGCCCCUUGAGAACUUUUGUAAGAGCAAACCUCUUUCCUGCAGCUGGCUAGGGAUGGGACGUGUGGAGGCUUUGAAUCUUCUCUGGGGGCAUUGUAAGCCUAGAGAGUUGUCUGGUGAGAGCAAGGCUUUAAUGGGAGAAGUAUCCAUUGGAAGGCCCACGAUGUGUACGCAGGGCAUGAGGUAAGCUGCUAUUCUCAGCUGCAAGGUAAAGAUCCAUGGAGACAGAGAUGGCCCUCCGUAGUGUCACUAUGCUGCUGUUCCCAGGCCUUUCCACCACUCUCAGGGCACAGAUCCCAAGCCUUAUUUUCUCAGCUGUUUAGCAUGUUGCGUACACACCUGUUGGCUUUACAUGCCUCUCUGAGCUUGGAGUCAUGUGCUCCAUAGGCAGCAGGCAGUUUUCAGUUUGGCUGCAGCAUCAGGGUAAAAGAGGAUGCCACUGUUCCCCACCCAGGAGCAUGCAUGCUCCUUGGCAGAUUGGACACUUUUGUGGGUAAGGUCUAGAAUUUAUCAGGGAGGAGUAUCUUGGACUUCAAUUCAAGCAAAACAAGCUACUAAGGUGGGCUUUCAAAAGAGCAGUGGGUACAAAGGGCUCUGAGGAGCUAGGCUUAAAGCCAUCCUGAGCCCAACCAUGUUUAUCCUUCAAGAUGCUGGACUUCCCUUGAGCUGAAAAACUAACCUCCUUAAACUGAGAGAACCUUCUGCAGUCUCCCCCAACAACUAGAGAGAAAGGAAGAAAAGAAAAUUGGCAGGAGCUGGCGCUCCAAACACCCCAGUGCUCCUAACUUUGAUGGCACACAGAGCUAGAUUUCCUUUGUUUCUGGCAGAAGUGGAAUUCACUACAUUUGAAAUUCCCACAUGCUUAAGGCAAUGGCAGUAAUGGCAGUAUACUAUACACAGC